UACGUAGGUAGCAAGCGUUGUUCGGAAUACUGGGCGUAAAGAGUGUGUAGGCGGUGCUCUAAGUUUGGUGUGAAAUCUCCCGGCUCAACUGGGAGGGUGCGCCGAAAACUGGAAUGCUUGAACAUGGGAGAGGAAAGCGGAAUUCCUGGUGUAGCGGUGAAAUGCGUAGAUAUCAGGAGGAACACCUGCGGUGUAGACGGCUUUCUGGACCAUUGUUGACGCUGAGACACGAAAGCGUGGGUAGCAAACAGG
rnacentral:rRNA from 1 species